AUUCAGCGAAAUGAUUUAAAUACAUUUAUUAAAUUAAACAUCGAUCUAUCCUCUGUACCUAUAUAUGAAGGAUUGGAAAAUUUAUAUCUUAUACAAAAUAUAUACGUUAUUACUAAUAGAAUUGUAUAAAUGCUUAAAUACAAUAAGAUUGUUAAGAUUAUUUUAUUCUCGUAAGAUCGUGGAAAUGAUCAAAAUAACGAUUCUUUAACUCAAUGCCAUAUACUGAUCAGAGAUCAGCAAUUAAAUCGAUAGAAGAAACGAGUUUCUUAUCACGCGUCAUUUUACUAGGAAUUUCAUUACAUCGAAUAAGUAGCCCAACCCAUAAAUAAAUCAGGCAAACGGGGAGAAUGACUAACGCAAGAUUACGCGACCCAUCGACCACUUUCGGCCCACGCUAUUUUAUCACAUUUUUAAUCCGAUCUUCGUACAUAUAAGAUGAUCACGAUAUUUGCAAGACGAUAUGAAUUAAUAUUUUAAUCGCUCGUUGCAAUCAUUAUGAAAUGUAUGCACAAAUCACACAAUGCCAGAUGAAGAAUUAAAUUGAUAUUCCACAUUAGAGAGCUAGAGCUUACUUAAUUUUCUCUAAACA
rnacentral:lncRNA from 1 species